rnacentral:lncRNA from 1 species
AUUAGUUACUGUCUUUUAAGUUUCUUACAAUCUAGAAGAGUUUGUUUUUCAUGAUAUUUGUUAAAGAGACCAGCUACCUUGCUCUUUCGGGAGUUACCUAUUUACUUUGUAGUCUGGCUCUUACCUGUUCUAUUCCUGUAUUCCCACCAAACUUGAAGUUAUGAAGUUAGAUCAAUUCAGGUGAAACAUUUUAGAUCUUAGGUAAUCUGAACUUCAUAGUGGUUCUUAUUAAGAGAUGCAAGUUUUCCUGUGUGUUGGUAUGUAGGUAGUCCUCAACUUAGCAAUGGUUCUACUUAGGAUUUUUCAACUUUAUGACAGCCCCAAAGUGGCAUGCAUUCAGUAGAAACCGUACCUUGGAUUUUGACCUUUUUCUGGGAUAGCAGUGUGGUAGGACACCCUUAGGCUGGGCAACAAACUGCAACUCCUAGUCAACCAUGUGAUCAUGAAGAUAAACAAUGGAUAUACUUAAAACCAUUCUGUACCCAUACAGCCAGUCUGUUUCUCACUUUCAUUAUAGUAUGCAGUAAGUUACAAGAGAUAUUCAACACUUUGUGUUAGAGGAUUUUGCUGAACUGUAGGCUAAUGUGUUUUUAGCACAUUGAAGGCUAAGCUAUGGUGUUUGGUAAGUUAGGUGUAUUAAAUAAUUACUGACUCAAGAUAUUUUCAACUUACCAUGGGUUUAUCAGGAUACAACCCUGUUGUAAGUUGAAAGAGAAAGAUCUCUAUAUGUAAGUUCCUCAGAAGCUAGGUGACUCUUGGUUGUCCUAAGAUUGAGGCACUAAAAAGCACAAUGGAAUCUCUGGAUGUGGCCCAGGAGUUUAAUUUUGUGCCACACUACCUUAUCAGGUAGUGACUUGGGCUGUUAAGGUGGGAUUUCUAGAGACAGUAGUGAUAAAUGUGUUAAAUUCAUCAAGUAUAAUUAGUCCAACACAUCUUGAAUGCAAUUUCUAAGUUUUUGGGUAUAUUGACAUAUUACAUCUGGGGAAUACUUGACUAAUGAGUAUAGUGUUCUGUCCACUGGAACAAUGAACAAGAACCAAAAAAGUAUAUAGAUAAUUUGCAUAUAUAUUUCCCGGUAAGUUUUAUUUUUCAAUCAUUAUUUGCAACAAUUCUGGGAACAAUCUGAUAGUCCCAAGUCCCCACAACAAAAAUCCCACCUUGUAUUAUUAGAAGAGUUCUAGUUUCAAAGAGAUCUGUUGACCAUUUUGGAACUAUAAGUUCCUAAGAGAAAUUGAACUACUUGGUUGAGUUACCUUUGGUGAAUCUCAGCCAGUUUCUCAAAAUUCUAAGGAAGCUUCAGUGAAUUGACACCCCCACAGUAAGUCCCCGAAAUGGUAAUACAUUUCUGUGAGGAGACUUUGUACUGACAUACUCGGAGUCCAGAACACAACCCUGGAGGCUUAAGUUCUGUUUCGGAGGAUAGUCAGUAGAAGAUAACUCUGGACAGGGAAAAUAGGAAGGAAAUCCUUAAUUGCCAUUAGUGGAUGGAUGCCCAGUCCACAGAUCAUUCUGAAUUGUCUAUAUGAAUAUGCCGUAAUGUUUAUAGGACCAUGGAUAUUUUCUGUAAUUAGUGAUUAUUCUGGAUUACCAUGAAGCAGAGGUUCUUUGAAGAUCAGAAUUUACUUUCAGUUUUUAGUACUAGUGCUCACAUCCUCAUUUUAACCUACCUAAUGCUGUUUCACUCAAGUGUCUUUUCUUUCUUCCCUGGAACAGCUGUACAGAAGAUUCUGACCUUAUCUGAGGCUUGCAUGUAGGAGAAUAUCCAUUUCUCCAUUGAUUCAGAGAAGUAUUAUGUACUAAAACAAAUAGAAAGGAAAUGUGAAGUUUCUUUCCCUUGACACAGAUAAUGAACGUGUUAAUUUCUUAUAACAUUGCAGAACAUUAAUUUACCAGUUCAGAAUAACAUAUGAAAUACUUCUAUACCAAAAUGGAAUGAUCCUACACUGAAAAUACACAUAAUAAGAUUCCUUAAAAACCUCUUCCAUAAGCAUCCAAUUUCCUAUAGUUGCUCCAUUAUUUGAAGGGGAUGAAAAGGUGACCUGUUCUCGAAGCCUUCUAAAUUGCAAAAUUUUAUAGAGGAGGUUGGUUCACAUCUGUAAAUGUUGCCUGAGGAUGAUAUGAAUCCUUAAGUUAGCCCCUGCUCACCCUUCAGUGUGAAAAUAAUUCAGGAUCAAGUAAAAUCCUACAGAAUUAUAAGAGACUGGGACCUCUUGAGGGCAAGAACCAGAUUUCAUCAAACUGACGGUACCUAGCACUGUUCUUUCAAUUUUAAAAGCAAUGUAUUUUCUAAAACUUUUAGGGUCACUUGAUGUCUCUAUGCCUCAGUUGCCUUAUCUGUAAAAUAGGGAUAAGUGCAGCUAUCAUGGGAUUAUGAGGAUUAAAUGAGUUAAUCCCUGUAAUGGUCAUUAGGAGGAUACCUACCCGAAGUAUUUAAUAAAUGUUAGUUUCUUCAUGAUCGUUAUUAUCUAUCUGAAACCCAUAUUUCCAGUACUGGAUUAAUAACCAAAUUGGCUUUUUUUGAAGGUGUUGGAGAUGUGGAAAGGAAUGGAAAAAGAAAUGUAGGCCUAAGUGCCAAAUUCUCACCAACACUGAAAAACAAAGUGUGGUCUACCAACAGUAACCAGACUCUGAUUACAAGAUGACAAAGCACCCUAAAAGUAACAGACAAAAGUUUUAUACAUAGACACACAGAUGUGCACAUAUACACACAUAUAUAUAUAUACACAUUAGCAAGCAAUAAAAGGGAACUUGUGAGUAAAGCAGAAUUUGUGAGGAAUCUCUGAAAGACUAAUACCACAUGGAAUUUGGAGAGCAAUCAAGGUAAAAGCACAUGAGAAAGUGCUGCCACAAAACUAUGACCAUCAAAGGUGCUCUAGACCUGGAGGAAAUGAAAGUGGAGGAUAAUUACUUAGAUGGACAGUUAACUGAAAGGAUAACUACACAAGCCAACUUCUCAGCCACACUCCUUGAGAUUAUCUGUCUUAAUAGAUAACAAAAUCCAAGCCGAGCAGAGAAAUGGAUGAGAAAGCAAUACUAAGUGCCUCACUUUGAACUAUGUCCUGCCUGACCUUAACUGCUCCUGAAAACAGUAUAUACUGCAACUUCUACCCAUCCAGGGAAAGGAUCCCAUAAAUAGCAGUGGCAGAACAGUCUUAAUAGUGAAUAUGAACUGUAAAGGUGAGAACACAAGACUCCAAAAAUCUGAAUACCAAUACCGUAAAAGUCAAAGAAGAUGUAGAAAUGAACCAUCUCAAGUAAUAGUGAAUGGAUGCACAGAAUACAGUUAACAAGACUGAAACAACUAACAUUGCCAGAAGAAACAGGCAAAAGUCCCCACUAGAGAGCCCUCAGAAAUGGAAAAUGUGAUUGUUCAAAUUUAAAAACAACCAUCACUAAUUGGACUGAAUGAUACAGUGGACACGGGCUAAACAUCAAAAUCUAGGUUGACUGAGAACUGUACAACUCAAAGGAAUAGAGUGAUAGAAAAUAUUGGGGGUGGGGAGAGGGGA